AAAAGAUACAUAGACCACUCUUUCUAUACACCAUUUUGUACCACUAAUGAUGUGGUAUGGGCAUUUUCGUAAUUUCACACAUUUUAUAAUUUCAUUCAUCCCAGAACCAUGCUUGCUUUCUCUCUCUCCUCAAACGAUGUGUUCUUAUAGAUACAGCUACGCUUUUGCAGAAUUCAUAGUUUUUGUUCUUAUUUUAUUAAAUUGCUUUCUUGGAGUUUGGCUGCAAGUUGUUAAAAUGGCUAAGAGAAUGGAACUGUGAGCACUUCUGGUAAUCAUUGAUUUCGACAGCACGGCUCAACAAAUUUACUUUGUUAUAAUUUUUUGUUGGAAGAACCAAGUUAUGGUUAUUUUGUUGUUCAUAAGUACAAUAGGGCCUAUGAUAAAGAAAAUAGUUUAUUUAAGAAUUAAACAAGCUGGUAGAGGUUCAUUCUUUGGUAGAGAUCUGAACACUUGACAUGGUUGUGGUGGUCGGAAUUGCACUUGAAGCUUUGAAGGAGAUAAGAUGGAGGGCGGGUGGUGGUUCUCCGGAUCCGGUGAGUAGAAAGAAGAUGGCAGAGGUGAGGGAGAGGGGAAAGAAGAGAGAGAAAGGGGAGGAAAAGAAGGAGUGAAGGAGACUCUCACCGUUUUUUUAUUUUAUUGUUAUGAACAAUUAAAAUUUACCAUGUGUCAAUUUUUUAUGUGGAGGUCAAAUGGUGUUUGCCACCUAAAGGGGUAUGCCUAUCACCACUCUAUUGUUAUUAAUCAACACUUUCGCUAUGUUGUAGUAAGAUUAAUCAUAUUUUUGGCACUA